rnacentral:sRNA from 1 species
UCUGGGCACCUUUGUGGGUGCUUGGAGUCCCAGCUACUCAGGAGGCUGAGGCAGGAGGAUCACUUGAGCCCAGGGAAUAUGAGGACAUCCUGGGCAACAUAGCAAGACUUCUCUCUC